rnacentral:rRNA from 1 species
AUGGUGGCGGCUCACUUCCAGUGCCAAAAACAGCAAUUCCCUUUCAAGUAUCUGGGCCUUCCCUUAUCAAUUUUUAGGCUGAGGAAAAAUGACAUUUGGCCACUCAUUGACAAAUACUCCGGCAAGAUGAAAGGAUGGAAACCUAAGAUGCUGGUUGCAGCGGGACGCUUGACUCUCACGAGUUCGGUUCUCAUGGCCCUCCCCAUCCAUUUUAUGUCAAUACUCCCUUUGCCUAUUUGGGCAAUCAAGAUUAUCAAGAGAAGGUGCAGAGGUUUUGUUUGGAAAGGGGAGGAAGACAUAAACGGCGGUCACUGCCUACUCCCGUGG